rnacentral:rRNA from 1 species
AUUGAACGCUGGCGGCAGGCUUAACACAUGCAAGUCGAGCGGGGUGAUGGUGCUUGCACUAUCACUUAGCGGCGGACGGGUGAGUAAUGCUUAGGAAUCUGCCUAUUAGUGGGGGACAACAUCUCGAAAGGGAUGCUAAUACCGCAUACGUCCUACGGGAGAAAGCAGGGGAUCACUUGUGACCUUGCGCUAAUAGAUGAGCCUAAGUCGGAUUAGCUAGUUGGUGGGGUAAAGGCCUACCAAGGCGACGAUCUGUAGCGGGUCUGAGAGGAUGAUCCGCCACACUGGGACUGAGACACGGCCCAGACUCCUACGGGAGGCAGCAGUGGGGAAUAUUGGACAACGGGGGGAACCCUGAUCCAGCCAUGCCGCGUGUGUGAAGAAGGCCUUAUGGUUGUAAAGCACUUUAAGCGAGGAGGAGGCUCUUUUGGUUAAUACCCAAGAUGAGUGGACGUUACUCGCAGAAUAAGCACCGGCUAACUCUGUGCUAGCCGCCGCGGUAA